UGGGGCUACACAUGGCAGCCACGUGGCUUGCGACCUGCAACCCUUUACUUUUUCUUUUCUUUUUUUUCUUUUUUUUUUUUGUGCUUAACUAUAAAAACACUUCCUGCAUUUUACCACGUUGAGAUGCCUCCUCUAUGAACAAAUCUGAUCGGAGGUGGUUCAUAAUUCUCCCCGUACAAUCCGAUCGGUCGGAUUUGGCAAUCCGCUCGGAAAUUAAUUCUCGAUCGAUCGCAUCACUCGUGACGAUUUUACAAUCAAAUUCGAUCAGUCGGAUUUGGUGAUUCGCCCCAGGUCGAAUUCGGCAUUCCGAAUCGGUUUUGAACCUGAGAGUUCGGGGUUUUACAUAUGAGAUCGUGCAUAUCCCUAAGUAAAACUUUUUGAGCGAAUCUUUUGAAGAGUUUUACGAGAGAAAAAUUAGGGUUUUGAGAGAGCCAUACAAAGAGGAGAGAAGAAUACAGGUUGUAGUGUUCCGAUCUAGAAGAGGAGAAUGGAGAACAUUGAUUGGAGUGGCUCGUUCAAAACGGUGUUAAGGAGUUCUUCGAUAGAAAAGUUUUUUUUUCUUGUAUUAAAGGUGAUAUCUUUGGGGCAGUGUCGGAGAAGAUAUUGUACUCUUAACUACUGCAAAAAUCUUUAUGAUUCAAUCGAGGAGGCAACUGAUAGACCCGCCAAGAUAUCAGAUAAAGAAUGUGAGAAAUUAUAUCGCAAAAUCGUUGAAAUUAUUAGAUAGCGGAUUACACGAUAGCAUUUUCCACCAUGUUUCGAUGGCGGUAAAUUAAAGCCCUAAGACUUUGGCUGAAACUGAAAAAAGAGUUUAAACGAGGGAAAGACGGCAUAGAAUAAAGUGUUCUUCAUCCACAAAUCGGCGAACUCGAAAUAUAAGGAGGGGACUUCCACGGCGAAGCCUCUAAGUAACUUUCAGAAUGUUGUGAACCAGGUAGACAAGAUGAAGAUGGUGUUGUUAGAUGAGGAACGGUCGAGAUGGGGGACGACUGAGAAUCGAAGAUCAUAGACCUGGGAGAUAUUGUGCUUAUCACAAGUUUGAGGGUGCUAGAACAAAAAGGUUACUGCAGUGUGUUCGGCGAUGGCCAGUGGAAGCUAACCAACAAAUCAAUAGAAGCAGCCAGAGGUGCCAAGCAUUGGCUCUUUCUACUUAAUAUAGGGAAAGCUCAGCAAGUGGGGAGGUGAAAGAAGCAGGGAAACUACGCACCUCAAAGCUAUGGCAUCGACAAUUAGGACAUAUAAGCCAAAAAAAAGUAUGUCAAUUUUGGCUAAUAUAAUACUUUUUCUACUGAUAGUUGUGGAGCGAAAAGGUGUGACAGUUUGCAAUCCUUUGGGAGGAAUGUUGCCGUAAGAUUGACAGCCGCAGUUAAAUGAAUAAACUCACCAAACUUUCAGCUA